UUUUCACAUUAAAAACUUCAACAAGCUGUGUUCCAGGGCUUUGAUUUUUCCAGUCCUCUAGGAUAGGUAUCUACUCAAGAAUGAUAUAACUUCAACAGGGUUGAAGAAGACCACGAUUUCUCUCUAUGGAAGCAAGAAAUUUGAAAGUUUGUUGGUCUUACUGUUAUGGAAGAGUGAUGAGGGCAAAGUGUACAUUCUAAAACACAAGGCAACAGAGCUGUGAAAGCAGAACAACCUUGCAAUGAAGGUAUACCCUAGGAUUUCCUUUACUCAGUCUUAAAGGUGGUGCAAAAUGGAGAACGAAGUUUGGGAUUAGUUUUUCUUGUCAGAAUGCUUCCUGGAACAUAGACUGGAAAGCUGCUCUAAAGGUAAUGCUGAACCUCACAGGUACUCCUUGCAAA
rnacentral:lncRNA from 1 species